rnacentral:lncRNA from 12 species
AUGCAGUCAAAGAACACAAAAGACUUUAUGCCAUUUAUGAAACCAGGAAUCCUGUCAAGAAGAGUCACGGGAUGGAGGUGCCUGGGGUUCUGUGCUCAUCCAACCCUCCAAAAUGGCUAUGUGAGAGGGAGCUGAUGCAGGACGGUGGGUCCAGGGGCUCCAUGCCUAGCUUUUAGUGCAGGCUGGGCAGCAACCAUGAUGAGUCUUAUAACUCAUGUACAUUAGUUAUACCUGUGUAUACUCACCACAAUGUUUGUCUUUGAUUUUGCUUUCAUAUUAUAAAAGACUGCAUUUUAGGUGAUACUUUUAAUAAUUCACCAAUUGGUUGAUUACUUAGUCUGGGUUCUUCAGAAAAUACAUCCUGAGGCAAAAUUUAAAUGCUACAGUUUUACUAAAGUGUGCAAUACUGACGAAAACAAGAAUG